rnacentral:lncRNA from 1 species
CGCCGUCCUCGGAGGCCCUCCCGUAGCUCAUCUUGCCGUGCAGCAUGGCGUCGGUGAUGUGGGUACUGUGCAGGGCGGCAUGCUGCUGGUGCUUGUCGUCGUCGAUGUUGAACUCGUGCUCGAGGUCGUCGAUGUCCUCCUCGUCCUCGUCGCCCUCCACCCUGGGGCUCCCCUUGAGGCGCUUGUAGCGGGUCUUGCACUGGGGGCAGUUCUGGGUGCCCUCCCGGCGCUCGUACUCGUAGCAGGGGCGGCACACCGGGAAGCCGCACUCGUUGCAGGCGACGAAGAGGUCGCCGUCCACCGUGCGGCCGACCUCGUCGCCGCAUAUCUCGCACACCUGCCCGCUC